GAUGAACGCUGGCGGCGUGCCUAAUACAUGCAAGUCGAACGAAAAGACGCGGCUCUUGCUGCUCUGUCGAUAGCGGCGGGCGGGUGAGUCACACGUGGAACCCCUACCUAUAAGAGUGGGAUAACUUCGGGAAACCGGAGCUAAUACCGGAUAAUAUCUUGAACCGCAUGGUUCAAUAGAGAAUGUCGGCUUUGCUGUCACUUAUCGAUGGAUCUGCGCCGGAUUGGCUAGUCGGUAAGGUAAACGCUUAUCAAGGCGACGCUGCGUAGCCGACCUGAUGGGGUGGUCGGCCACACUGGAACUGAGCCACGGUCCAGACGCCUACGAGAGGCACCAGUAGGGAAUCUGAGGCAAUGGGCGAAAGUCUGACAGAGCGGCGCGGCGUGAGAUAUGAAGAUCUUCGGAGCGUAAAACUCUGUUAUUGGGGAUGAACAAAUGUGUAAGGAACUAUGCACGGAUUGACGGUACCUAAUCAGAAAGCCACGGCUAACUACGUG
rnacentral:rRNA from 1 species